GCCAGCAUGGUGUAGUGGUUUGAGUUUUUGACUAUGACUCUGGAAUACAGGGUUCAAUUCCCAGCUCAGCCA